UCUCAAGUUCUCAGAAAACUCCAACGUCCAGAGUUACUCAAGAGUUUAAGCUGGAGGGCUGCGAAGAGUGAGCAGCCGGACUAAAAAAAGACACAGAGCCCAACGCAAACCCGAACGCGAGGCUGCUCGACACACUGGGAGCCAAGAAGCCCGCUCAGCGGCUCAGUGACACACUUCUACUUCACACGGAAGGUACACGAAGCUUGACGUAUCAAGUCUUUCCAGAAAGGGACAUAUGCACUUCGAGAAGAUAAGUUGAUAAACAUCUGUUUACUGACCCAAGAACAACUCUGCAAGACUAACCAGAAGGCCUCAUGUUCACUUUGAACAGACUGAUGAAGCAGAGGAGGACACCUGGUGCAGACUCUGAGGCGAGUCAAGCGCUGCAUCUACAUUUCAGCAAACAAUUUGAGUCUGUCUUGACAGUUUCUCGGCGGUUAAACUGAAAUUCAGAAUCCCCGUGCUCAUGUGUCAUUUACAGCAUAUGAGAUCUAUACGUGGCAUAAACCAUAUAAACAGGAUAUGGGUCUCAAUUAUGAAGGCCGCGUUCUAUGCCUACCUGGAAGGCAAUCUCUACCAGCGGGCCACCAGAUGCAUGCAUGCACUAAUCCUGUCUUACUGUCUUUCCUUCAACAAAAUUAACAUUAAAGUACAAAAAGGCAUACUCAUCCGAUCUGGAUCAUAAGGAGAUAGAGAUGGGGUUUUAAAAGGUGGUGUACGCACCUGUAGACCUAGUACUUGGGAAGUUCUGGGCUGCACGGUAAGACUUGUCUCCAAACAAAAACCCCAAGUGAGAUGAAAGGGCAGCAGCCAUAAGGUUAUAAUCACCUCAGUCAGCUUUCCCAGAACUUAACAGGCGGAAUGUUAACCACAGAAGGGGAGGGGUGGUGUUGGGGGAUGGAAGGAUUAGUGAUCAAAGAAUGAGGGAGAAAAAUGAUGACUUCUGGCUAUAGCCCAAGCAAAGAUGAACAGGAGUAUAAUACAGAUACCGAAAUCUAAAGUGUCAGCACGGACUUAUGCUACAUUAAUAACAGGACUAUCUACAUAUUUAACAUGUACUUUACAUCUGUCGGAAGGAAAAAUUACUGAGACAGGUUAGACGCAGAAUUGACAUUCACAUCUCUACCUGACUUCAAGGGUCCCAUCCGUCUGAGGAAUAUAUGUUGAAAAAUCACUUCCUAUUUGGUUCCAUGGGGUAAAUAAAACCAGAACCAAAGGAUGAGGCAUCACCAAGUUCAGAUGAAGACCAAACCAGGGGCACCUACACAGGCCCCUAUCAGUUACCGCUCUGCUCCUGUGAUAAAAUGAACUCCGUGGCCAAAAGCAACUUAAGGAAGAAAGAGCUUAUUUUGGUUUCCGUCCCAGUGGGAUAAAGCCUAUCAUGGCAGGAAGGGCAGGGCAUGUUGGCUGGACCAGGAAGCUAACUGACUUGAGCACAUUUUUGUGUGAACAUAGGAAG
rnacentral:lncRNA from 1 species